UACAGAGGGUGCAAGCGUUGUUCGGAAUUAUUGGGCGUAAAGGGCGCGUAGGCGGUGCGGUAAGUCUGUAGUGAAAUCUCUGGGCUCAACUCAGAGUCUGCUGCAGAAACUGCCGUGCUUGAGUGUGGGAGAGGUGAGUGGAAUUCCCGGUGUAGCGGUGAAAUGCGUAGAUAUCUGGAAGAACACCGGUGGCGCAAGCGGAUUGCUGGGCCAUAACUGACACUGAGGAACGAAAGCUAGGGGAGCGAAUGGG
rnacentral:rRNA from 1 species